GACGAACGCUGGCGGCGUGCUUAACACAUGCAAGUCGAACGGAAAGGCCCUGCUUUUGUGGGGUGCUCGAGUGGCGAACGGGUGAGUAACACGUGAGUAACCUGCCCUUGACUUUGGGAUAACUUCAGGAAACUGGGGCUAAUACCGGAUAGGAGCUCCUGCUGCAUGGUGGGGGUUGGAAAGUUUCGGCGGUUGGGGAUGGACUCGCGGCUUAUCAGCUUGUUGGUGGGGUAGUGGCUUACCAAGGCUUUGACGGGUAGCCGGCCUGUGUGGGAGACCGGCUAGACAGGGGGGGAGUGACGGACGGGACACAUUCGGGCGGGAGGAGGCGGGGGGGUAGCAUGAGGGGCGGGAGCAUGAUGCAGGAACGCCUGGUGCGUGAAGGCGGCCUGCGUGUGGUUAGCAAAUUUCGUCUGUGGGGAAGCAUGAGGGCCGUAAAUGGGGAAAAAGGCACCGCCUAAUUAGUU
rnacentral:rRNA from 1 species